CUCACCGCCCGUCACAUCACUUGAAUCUAUUGCUCCCGAAGUCGCUGGCCGAACCCGUGAGGGACGGAGGCGCCGAAGGAGUGGCCGGUGAGAGGGGUG
rnacentral:rRNA from 1 species